ensembl:lncRNA
UUGGCAAACUGCCGAUCCUCUGCCCAUCUUUGCUCAUAAAGCACUAGGCCUUUCCUGGAUGUUGCUUUUGUACCAAAUCAUGAUUAAAAUGAGCUGUUGAUAUCGCUUGUUUCAAAUCGCAUAAUUAUUUAAUUAUUCUACCUCAUUACUACCCCUAAAUUGCCCCGUCUCAACUUGUUGCAGGCCUGAAUGACAGGAAUUGAUGUAUAUUUACAAAUCAAAUGAAAUUGACCAGACAAUCAUGAAAUAUCUUGUGUCUUUACUGUCUGCAAUGAAAUACAAGUCAAGGUAAAUUUAUAAAUCACUGCUUUCUUUAAUUAUUUGCAUUUUCCAUACCGUCCCAACUUUUUCUGAUUCGGGGUGGUAUAUAUAUACACACACAUACAUACACACACACACACAAACACACACAUACAUAUACAUACACACACUCACACAUAUAACAAUCUGAUACUAGCCCAGAGUUAAGCAUAUUCAUCUAGCAAACUAUACCUACCUUGGAGUGUUACAAUAGCCAGUAUCAUUUUAUUCCAUGUGUCCAUCCAGGCAAAUUGGUGGAUCCAAAUGUUAUUAAAAAAAAAACAUAUAUCAUGUAAUUUCUUUGUAAUCAUCCAAAAUAAUGUUAAGUGUAUGGGCAUUUUUCCAAGUAGGCCACUGACUGGUCGAUACGUGCGAUGCAUUGAGUGGGCAGCACGCCUUGUAUUGAGUGGGCCAGUCUGACAGUAACUCCCGGGCCACUUUUUCCCCCCAGUCCGCCCCUGCUGACUGAUGUGAUACGAUAUCUUCUAUGUCACAUGCAAAAAUAAGUGGAUUCUAGGUCCAGGACCUAGGCUAAUCUAUACAUAUAUACAGUCAUGGACAAAAAUAUUGGCACCCCUGCACUUCUGUCAGAUAAUGCACCACUACUCCCAGAAAAUUGUUGCAAUGACAAAUGCUUUGGUAUUGACAUGUUUAUUUCUUUUGUUUACAUUGGAACAACACAAAAAAUCUGAGAAAAAAUGCCAAAUCUGACUUGAUUCCACACAAAACUCCAAAAAUGGACUAGACAAAAUGAUUGGCACAGUGUGUCAAGUUAUCCUUGCUUGCAGCUGAAUUCCAAUGGUAAGUUUCUUCUUCUGAAAGCUAUGAACAUACAGCUUGUCACUGCUUCUGGGAGGCUUAUGCUUUGCAUUUGUAUGGUUCGUAGAUGGCUGGUCAAACCACCACUGUUUGUCUACUACACAUACACACACACCGUUACCAGUGAGUUACCAGUGAGUUACACACACACACACACUCACACACACCACUAGGGGCAGUCUACUACUACUACUACACCACUAGGGGUCAGGGUCAGUCUACUACUACUACUACUACUACUCCACCACUAGGGGCAGUCUACUACUACACCACCACUACUGUGCCCGGAGCACACCAUCCUGCUGAUGAGAGACCUGCAUUGUAACAUUUUCUUUACAUGAAAUGAUAUGUCACUGACUUCCAUGUUAUGUAGAGGAAUAAUCAGGCUUGGAAAUCUCUGUAUUGUGGUUUAAAUGUUUGAAAUGCAAUAAAUAUGGGCUGAAAUGUAUUUGACCUUUGUGGACAAUGUUAUUUACAAUGAUGUUUACAUCACUGUAUAAUGUUAAAGAAAUGCAAAAGUGCUCAAUGCCAAAGUCAUGGUUUGGGUAUGGAAGAGCUGAUUUCCAUUGGCCUUGGGAGAACACAUUUAUUCCACUAAGUAGUUUUCAUUUACCCAGUAUUUGUUUCUCAUUGCUGACUUCCUAACCGCACAGCUUGAUCUUCAUCUUCAACUUGAUUAGUAGUCGUGCACAACCAUGUGUGUUUCACUGUGGUAUGACAGAGAAAAUGAGAGGGAGAAAAAGAGCUACAGCGAUGGAGAAAGAGCGAGAGCACCACAGAUGUGACG